GAUGAACGCUAGCGGGAGGCCUAACACAUGCAAGCCGAGCGGUAUUGUUUCUUCGGAAAUGAGAGAGCGGCGUACGGGUGCGGAACACGUGUGCAACCUGCCUUUAUCUGGAGGAUAGCCUUUCGAAAGGAAGAUUAAUACUCCAUAAUAUAUUAAUUGGCAUCAAUUGAUAUUGAAAACUCCGGUGGAUAGAGAUGGGCACGCGCAAGAUUAGCUAGUUGGUGAGGUAACGGCUCACCAAGGCAAUGAUCUUUAGGGGGCCUGAGAGGGUGUUCCCCCACACUGGUACUAAGACACGAACCAGACUCUAACGGGAGGCAGCAGUGAGGAAUAUUGGUCAAUGGGUGCAAGCCUGAACCAGCCAUCCCGCGUGAAGGAUUAAGGUCCUAUGGAUUGUAAACUUCUUUUGUAUAGGGAUAAACCUACCCUCGUGAGGGUAGCUGAAGGUACUAUACGAAUAAGCACCGGCUAACUCCGUGCCAGCAGCCGCCGUAACAC
rnacentral:rRNA from 1 species